ACGUAGGGGGCGAGCGUUAAUCGGGAUUACUGGGUGUAAAGGGUGUGUAGGCGGACUUUCAAGUCGGGUGUCAAAGCCCUGUGCUCAACGCUGGGAGUGCGCGCGAUACUGACGGGCUUGAGGGCUGGAGAGGUGAGUGGAAUUCCCGGUGUAGUGGUAAAAUGCGUAGAGAUCUGGAGGAACUACAACGGCGCAGGCAGCUCACUAGGUAGUUUCCGACGCUAAGACACGAAAGCGUGUGGAGUAUACAG
rnacentral:rRNA from 1 species